UUCAGUUCUGUGCGUAACGGAGUAUAGCACAGAACGUAUGUCUAAACAUAACGCACCGCACAAAACAGGUAUAUGUGCGGUUCGUUCAUGCGUGUGGUUGUCACGUGAGUGAUGGUCACUCAGGUGGACAUAGGCGGGAAUUUGCACGGGGUGUUCAUUGUUUGGUCAGUUCUACGCUAGACUUCGAUCAGUAAACUUGUGUUCGUCUACAAAUCCUGCAUCGUGUUGUCGACUUUAGCAGAACACAGGGUGUCCAUGCUGCAAGAUUUGGAACGCAUCAUAGAAAAGAUAAGUGCUAAAAGAAAAUCUGUUAAAUCCGUUAUACUGAAUCUCGAGCAUAGUAUCGAGUGUUACGAAGUAGUAACAGAGUUGAAACGAUGUAUAUUUCAAGUAACAAUUUCAGCACUAGAGAAAGCCGAGCAAUUUACAAAUAGAAAUAUUGAUGGCACGUGACCGAAAAUUCACAGGUCAUUAAUGGUAGAACACGAUAAAAGCUUUCGAACUUACUGGGAAAUAAAUUGCUAUUCUUUGUGGUGUUGUAUACAUUCUAUAUGUAUAUGUGUAAAUGUUUUACGAGUCUGAUGACGUAAUGUUAUUUGUAGAAAAAUACAAGGUAGAGGCGAUGGCAUAUAAAAAGGCGGAAACAUAACGCCACGCGGCGCUCUUGAUGGGUCAUAUCAGAAGCCGGAAGCUUCAUCUAACAUCGCAACACAAGGUGCUGAAACUCAAUUACCAUUGAGACGCACUGGACUAUGUUUCGCAUGUGGCGAACCGGGUCAUCGGAAAGGAGCAGCUGGCAGUUCAGCAAACAGCUCGACCAAUAAGUUAAGUUAAUUAUGUAUAGAACCCCGUUAUCAGAAAAUGGGUAGUUUCGUGUUCGUCGGAAAACGUAACGUACAGAAAGUUCCUAAAAUUCGAACGUGAUCAAAAGGAUCCAAGUAUAGUUCGCCGGUAAGUUGAAGGAAGGCCAACGCGGUUAAGUAGCAGAAGACUACUGAUAGUAAGUACAUUUUCGAUGUAGUAAAUGGCGGUUAUAAGUAUAUUUUUUCCGUCGGAAAACGGUAACGUACAAAAAGAUCUGUAUCAAUGUAUCAAAAGGAUCUUAGUAUAAAACUGGAUCAAAAGGAUCAUAGUAUAGAAAUUGAUGCUAGAAGCUCGCCGUUAAAAAGAACGAAAGCCCAUGUAGCCAAGCUGUAGCAGGCUACGGAUGGUUGUUACAUUUAAGAUGUAGUAAAUUGCGGUUAUAUGUUUCCUUUUCCGUCGGAAAACGGUAACGUACAGAGAUAAAAGGAGCAAUUGAUCAAAAGGAUCAUAGUAUAGAAAUAUAUCAAAAAGAAAAAAAAAUCAUAGAAUAAAAAACCGGAAGUUUGUCGGUAAGUAGACUAAAAAACCCACGUGACAUUUAUCCUGUUGUUAAUACGCCCGUUAAUACGUUUAUAGUCGUAUUUAAUAAGAAUGGGAGGCCUCGAUAUCUUUAAAAUUAUUAUUUAUUUAUUUGUUCUACUUUCGAUAUUAGAGGAGCGUAUCAUGAUAUUGAUACAUUCACAAACGGUGUGGUUUGAGCUAUCAAGAGAAUAGCAGGCAGUGUUAGGUUGUUAUAAGCUUAUAUUUGGCACGAUAACGGCCGAUCAUAUAUUUAUUUAUUUGUUCUACUUUCGAUAUUAGAGGAGCGUAUCAUGAUAUUGAUACAUUCACAAACGGUGUGGUUUGAGCUAUCAAGAGAAUAGCAGGCAGUGUUAGGUUGUUAUAAGCUUAUAUUUGACACGAUAACGGCCGAUCAUAUAUUUACUAAAACUCGUUAAAACUAAAAUGAGGUGUACUAGCAUUCUUACGUCAAAUUUACUUAAAAUAGUUAUUUGCUUUUGUGAUGAUGGCAUACAUCACAGUGUAGAAUAUGAAAAACCAUUAUAUGCUAGUGACUAGACGAGUUUGGAUGUUAACUCGCUGAAGAAACAGUAUUUUGAUUCCUUCUCAGAGAGUAGAAUGGCUCGGGCAUGUGAUCGAUAUGCAUAAAAUGCAGUUUUUCAUAAUUAAAAAUUGAGUAGCUAGGCUAAAAAAAAGUAUUGAUUCGAUGAUCUAUCUAAUUUAUCAAACGAAAGAAAAAUUAGUACCAAAAGAUAAAUUAAUAGCUAGUCUUGUAGGGCAGAUAAUUUCCUUUCAGAGUGUGAUUGUAAAUAAAGUUUGGUGAUAACAAUGCAUAUAUAAAAUUGCAUAAAUACCAGAGCUAGUUGGAAAGCUCCCGUUAUUGUAACGUUACAAGUUAUUUACAAACUUAGAUUAUGGAAAGAAAGCACUAGGCAGUUAAUCAACGGUGGAAAAGAUUUCAAACACAAUCAGUUGUUUUUGUGUAAUAUAGUUGCUGAUGCAAGUACCACAAGUAAUGGUUUAGGGAGGUUUUAUAGAAAGUUGUAGCUUUAAUGUAGAUAUAGGCGAAAUGACUGUCAAGCUAACGAUUUUCAUAAAAAUAAAAAAAAAGCAAAUUUAUUUUCAACUUUGUUUUAUUCCAUUGACGGAGAGAGUAAAGGUAUGUACUCGUGAUCUUUGAGACCAGAAAAUGAGAAAAUUGGAAUGAACAUGAUCUUAAUAAAAAGAGCAACCUGUUCCCGGAAGUGAACAGAUUAUUGACGAAAAGAGAAAAGUUAUUCCUGGAAGUGAUUACUAUAUUACACUGUUAAAAUCAAGGAGGUACACUGCCAGUGUUUCUAUAAACGAAACAGGUAAUGCAUAUUGUGAUUUAAUAUGAAAUCAAUACAUUAAGCCACCGGAAGUUGGUUUUCAAGAUAAACCGGAUAAGUAUUCCGUCGUUCAUCAUAACGUAAGUAAAAAUUUCUUAUGAUCAAGAAAAUGCCUUGCAUACGGCUAGAAAAGGUAUGUUAUUGCUCCCCGAAGUGAGCAGAAAGAGUUUGCUAUGGUCCCCGGAAGUGGACAUAGAGCCCAGUAGAUUGCUCCCGGAAGUGAGCAGAGAUGCUCCAUGAAGAGAGCAGAGAGUAUGCUAUGGUCCCCGGGUGUUAUGUUAUAUGAAAUGUUUUAAAUGCUUUGCAAAAUUCGUACAUCAAAGUGUAUUCAGACAAUAAAAUGUAAAAUCUAUAUUAUUGAAUGGUAGUCAAAAUAAAUAGCUUUAGAUUUAAAUAUGUUGUGUGGAUACUGGAUUCAAUGAAAAGAGGCAGUGGGUGCCUUAGUUCAAUAUGGGGAAACAAUGUAAAAUGGUUAGUUCAGAAACUAGGUUGGUAUCAAUCUGUAUUAAUAAGAUGAUAUCGGAGAAAGCAAAAUGCAUCCUUGUUGUUCCAAAAAGGGGCAGUUCGCCUUAUUGGCUAAUGUUGAUUUGUCAUACGGACAUUUAAGAGAUAUUGUGAAAUAUUGCCAAAAGUUUGGUAGAGACUGUAUGAUUCCAGGUUGUUUUGUUAACACUAGAUUAUCAUUAAAUAAGAUAGCGUUAAGGUGCAUAUCACAAUACAGUUAUUGAUGUAUAGUACAUAUGUUUGACAGGAAAUGUUUUGAGAGGUACUCUGAAGGAGCGAUUAGAGGGCUCGGGCUUGCAUGGGCUUCGAAGAGAUUAGAUGGCGGACAGAAUGGCUAAGUAAAUACUUAGAACAAUCAAGAGCAGACAAUACGGUGAAGAAAAGAAUUCGUCAUGUGCACAUUUCAAAUACUGUGAAGAAAAUGUAGUCGCCAUGCCAGCCUUACAUAUAUCAGUAGUAAUGUACAUGGCUCAAUUGAUGGAUCGAGGAAAUCUAAUAACGUUUUUUACAUCUGUGUUUUACAGUAUUAAAUGGAUCCAUUCUAUUAAUAGUGUACAUGAUCCAAAGAAAGAUUUAACAUACUAUUAUAAGAAGCUUCAAAGCGUGUGUGCUUCAAACCAUUUCACAAGAAAGAUGUAUCAUGUACAUGUGCAUUCAUUAGAGAUGAUACAAACAUUGUGUUUGAUAUAAGGAGAUUCCACUGUUUUCAUUGAUUGAUCAUUUUUGGGUUAUGCAUGUACAUGUAUCAUGCAUAUUAACAAAUUAAGUGAGUUUCAUUGUAAUGACCUACAAUUGAAAUCUGAUCACUUUGGUAUUAUUGUACGCCAUUAUAAUACUGGCAUGUAUACGAAUGGUUCGGAUAUUAUAAUUGCAAAAUGUACAACUACAACUUCCCUUGUGGCGUUUCAUUAACAAAUAUGUAAUUAGCAAAUUGGUCAGAUGAAUCAAAUGAUUUUUUGUUCAAACCAGUUAUUGGUUAUAUAUAUGUAAUUAUUUAGACUAGCUAACGCCGAGGGCGUGUUUUAGAGAUGUUUGAAGCGACAUGGUCGAUGGAAGUCUGAUAGGGCUAAAGAUGGGUGCAUUGAUGAUUCUCUAGACAAAAAGCUUUUUAUCACUAGACAAUUGAAAUUAUAAUUGAUUUGCGGUUCGAAUUUAAAACCUUACUAACCUUUGUUUUUGUUCUAUCGCAAGCCUUGCCCAAUGCAAAACGUGUUGUGUUUUGUGCUUAGUUGUGUGAAGACUUUUCAGUUCUGUGCGUAACGGAGUAUAGCACAGAAUGUAUGUCUAAACAUAACGCACCGCACAAAACAGGUAUAUGUGCGGUUCGUUCAUGCGUGUGGUUGUCACGUUAGUGAUGGUCACUCAGGUGGACAUAGGCGGGAAUUUGCACGGGGUGUUCAUUGUUUGGUCAGUUCUACGCUAGACUUCGAUCAGUAAACUUUUACUUUUUUAUUUUCGAACCGCAUUAGAAGUAAAUUGGCUCAAAUGACAUGUUAUGUUUGUGUUACAUAAUGUUCAGUUACAUGUUAAUAUUGGUUGUUUUCAGGUACAGUUUUCCAGAGUUAUUUUACAUUGGGCUUCUGAUGAAUUUUUAUCUCUGGUUUUUACCCUGGCCAUGAAAACACCAAUUAAGGACACAAUACUAGAAGUGAUGUAUACACAUUAUAGUUAUAAUUUGUUAUAUAAUUUAUAGUUCGAAAAUUGUCCUGUCAAGGUUGUACUACGAUUGUACUUGAUUGCUAUAUGAUACGAAUAUGUAAUAUUCCUGGAUGUGUGUUGUCAAUAAACUGAUCGCAAGCCUUGCCCAAUGCAAAACGUGUUGUUUUGUGCUUAGUUGUGUGAAGACAUUAUGUUCUCGAUUCCAUUUGCUCUCUGUCAGAGUGAAUCUACCCUUUCAUUUUCAAAGUUCCCUAAUGCACAGAGAAACAACUUUACUUGUUACUACAUCAUUACAUCUUCUGUAUCGUUUGAUUACAUCUGACAAAUUACUAUGUCAAUCUUUUGACUGCCUUGUUUUAUAUUGAACUAUGGAUUAUAACCUGUUAAAUUUCACAAUUAUAAAUGACACAUAUAUAAUUUUUUAUAUCCGAAACAAACGAAUCAGAGAGAAAUAUGGGACGUGGGAUUGAAUUUGAAAUUUUGAAGGCAUUUGCAAACAGUUUGGAUCCAGAUGAGACGCCACAGAACGUGGCGUCUCAUCAGGAUCCAAAGUGUUUGCUAUUCUGAUAGUAUUGUAACACAUGUAUACCUUAGUGGGUGGGGUAAUGUUUAUUUACUGUUUGAUAUUUAACCUAUGUUUCGAAUGCUGUCUGCAGUUAAGCUAUAGUAUUGUAUUAGACUCUAAUGAUAACAGACUUGAAAAUUUACCUGGAUUACCAGCUACGUGAUUGUUUGAGUUUAAAUCCAGAUUUUUGUAAAGUUAUUGUACACAUGUUCACUUAGUGUUAUUUAACCCUAGGUAGCGUUGUAGCUGAGAAUGACGACACUAUUACGUAAACAAUCUGCUGUCAACUGUUUGUAUACUGUAUUAAUUUUUAUUGUUUAAAAAUACUAUUUGCAUUUAAAAUAGCAAAUAUGCAGGUAAUUUAUGUAGUAUUAUAUAUUAUAUUGUUAAUACAUAUUGAAAUGUUA